rnacentral:rRNA from 1 species
GACGAACGCUGGCGGCGUGCUUAACACAUGCAAGUCGAACGGAAAGGCCCUGCUUUUGUGGGGUGCUCGAGUGGCGAACGGGUGAGUAACACGUGAGUAACCUGCCCUUGACUUUGGGAUAACUUCAGGAAACUGGGGCUAAUACCGGAUAGGAGCUCCUGCUGCAUGGUGGGGGUUGGAAAGUUUCGGCGGUUGGGGAUGGACUCGCGGCUUAUCAGCUUGUUUGUGGGGGAGUGGCUUACCACGGCUUUGACGGGUAGCCGGCCUGAGAGGGUGACCGGCCACAUUGGGACUGCGAUACGGCCCAGACUCCUACGGGAGGCAGCAGUGGGGAAUAUUGCACAAUGGGCGGAAGCCUGAUGCAGCAACGCCGCGUGCGGGAUGACGGCCUUCGGGUUGUAAACCGCUUUCGCCUGUGACGAAGCGUGAGUGACGGUAAUGGGUAAAGAAGCACCGGCUAACUACGUG